CUCUGGGAUACAAAUGGAUAAACAAAUCCAAGCCAAGGGCCGAGACCUGGGCCUGAGAAACUGCCUACCUCCUUUCUGAACCCACAAGGUCAUGUCAGUACAACGUGGUCUGGCUAUCCUAGCCCCAUGUGAUAUGUCAAGGACAACAGUGUGUUUAAGAGGAUGAAUUACAAAUAUCUCUGUGAAAUAAGUGUGCGAAGAGGCAGAUCAAAGAGCAGCAGCCCCAGGGUUUCUUCUACAGGAUGGAAAGUACCAAAUGUCAGGGCUCCGAACAUGAUAUCCUAAAACAUGACACCUUGACAUACUGAAUGAUUUUAAGCUGAAGGAAAUGGAGAAAACUGCAAGAUCAGAAAGGUUACUCUCUGACCUUCCCCUGCCUUUCCCCCAAAAAACAUGACCAUCGGAAAAUUUUUUGACCUACCUA